rnacentral:rRNA from 1 species
UGGGGAAUUUUGGACAAUGGGGGAAACCCUGAUCCAGCCAUCCCGCGUGUGCGAUGAAGGCCUUCGGGUUGUAAAGCACUUUUGGCAGGAAAGAAACGUCAUGGGUUAAUACCCCGUGAAACUGACGGUACCUGCAGAAUAAACACCGGCUAACUACGUGCCAGCAGCCGCGGUAAUACGUAGGGUGCAAGCGUUAAUCGGAAUUACUGGGCGUAAAGCGUGCGCAGGCGGUUCGGAAAGAAAGAUGUGAAAUCCCAGAGCUCAACUUUGGAACUGCAUUUUUAACUACCGGGCUAGAGUGUGUCAGAGGGAGGUGGAAUUCCGCGUGUAGCAGUGAAAUGCGUAGAUAUGCGGAGGAACACCGAUGGCGAAGGCAGCCUCCUGGGAUAACACUGACGCUCAUGCACGAAAGCGUGGGGAGCAAACAGG